AACGAACGCUGGCGGCAUGCCUAACACAUGCAAGUCGAACGAGACCUUCGGGUCUAGUGGCGCACGGGUGCGUAACGCGUGGGAACCUGCCCUUAGGUUCGGAAUAACUCCCCGAAAGGGGUGCUAAUACCGGAUAAUGUCUUCGGACCAAAGAUUUAUCGCCUUUGGGUGGGCCCGCGUUGGAUUGGCUAGUUGGUAGGGUAAAAGCUUACCAAGGCGACGAUCCAUAGCUGGUCUGAGAGGAUGAUCAGCAACACUGGGACUGAGACACGGCCCAGACUCCUACGGGAGGCAGCAGUGGGGAAUAUUGGACAAUGGGCGAAAGCCUGAUCCAGCAAUGCCGCGUGAGUGAUGAAGGCCUUAGGGUUGUAAAGCCCUUUUACCCGGGAUGAUAAUGACAGUACCGGGAGAAUAAGCUCCGGCUAACUCCGUG
rnacentral:rRNA from 1 species